rnacentral:rRNA from 1 species
AUUGAACGCUGGCGGCAGGCCUAACACAUGCAAGUCGAACGGUAACAGGAAGAAGCUUGCUUCUUUGCUGACGAGUGGCGGACGGGUGAGUAAUGUCUGGGGAACUGCCUGAUGGAGGGGGAUAACUACUGGAAACGGUAGCUAAUACCGCAUAACGUCGAAAGACCAAAGAGGGGGACCUUCGGGCCUCUUGCCAUCGGAUGUGCCCAGAUGGGAUUAGCUAGUAGGUGGGGUAACGGCUCACCUAGGCGACGAUCCCUAGCUGGUCUGAGAGGAUGACCAGCCACACUGGAACUGAGACACGGUCCAGACUCCUACGGGAGGCAGCAGUGGGGAAUAUUGCACAAUGGGCGCAAGCCUGAUGCAGCCAUGCCGCGUGUAUGAAGAAGGCCUUCGGGUUGUAAAGUACUUUCAGCGGGGAGGAAGGGAGUAAAGUUAAUACCUUUGCUCAUUGACGUUACCCGCAGAAGAAGCACCGGCUAACUCCGUG